CAAGUUGGGGAUCAGUAUUUUUUGCCAGGAUGUUUAAUUCUGGGUCGCAAUUUUUUGUAUUUAUUUUCUUCUCUCUGCCAACCUAUUUUAAAAUUUUUUAAUUUUAACGGAUAUAAUCGCAUAUAACGUGUUGAUAUAUCCUUUUUAUAAUAAUUAAAAAAACAUACCAUGCACUCAACCGGGUCAAGCCCAUGUUCACAAAUAUUUAAAUGACUGGCAACUCUCCAUUGAAUCUCUCUCAUGAUCUUUCCUCUUUUUUUUUUGGCUUUUAUUGAUUUAAACGUAUAUUUUCCAGAUCAUGAGUGAUAAAAUCAAUCACCACCCGCUUUAAACAAGGCAUGGUGAUUUAGUAGAGCGAUAGAUAUUCUUAUGAAUUAUGAUUAUAGAGUCUUGGUGGUUGGCUGUGGAUCAUUGGAUAUGGGGUGAUUAGGGACUGCAGCUAUAGUGAGUUGUAGGGGUCGUAGGGCCACACCAACUUUGUCCGGAGGAGAGAAUGAUAAAGGAUGGUGAAGCUAAAAGGGGGCUGUUCUGUAGGCAACUUAGGCUCGUCUAGAAUAAUGAGCUUUAUUUUAUUCCUUUAAACAAUUGUGUUUCUAAAAAUGUAAAGAGAUGGUCUGGUACAAAAAGACCCUAUUGAAGAUUUGAUAUAUCUUUUUAAUUUUAUAUUCAUUGCAGAAGGGUUUGGUUUAUCCUCUUCAAGGAAUGUCCUUGUCGAUUUUUGGGAGGUCAUAUGUCCUCCUUGUCCUUUUGUCAAACCUCCUGGAGAGGUACGUGAAUUGACCUUAUUUUGUGAGUUCUAGUGUUGUCAAUUUUGAGCUCAUUUAGUUUGCCCCAUGUGUCAAUACGUUACAGGUUUGAAACAUAUGUGAGUCUUGAAAUGGUUCAAAACUGCAAAUGUUGUUUUAAUGACUGAUUUGGAGAGACAUUAGUUGCUCUAAUAUUGUAGAAUAAUUUAAAAUUUGUUAAUAUAGCAUAAGGAUCAAUUUUUUAAGAAUUUCUAUUUCCAUGCCUCCUGAUUACUGUGGGGGAAUAAUAUCUUACAAAUGAUGGUGGAUUAUGAGUCUCGUGAAUAACAAUGUUUUACCAAAUGUGAGGUUAAAAAUCAUAGAUCAAGAAGUAUCUAGAAAUCGAAAGUUUUACGAAAUUGUGUUAUUUUCUUUUCUUUCCUUUUUCUUUCUUUUUUUUUUGUGUGGUGGUGGUGGUGUUAUUUGGUUGGGGUGUAAUGCAGGGACUUUAAAGACAUUGAGUUGUGAUGAGAUGGCCUAUGUUAUUUUUUAACCUUUUUGGGCUUCAGUUUCUCCCUCUACGAAGGAAUUUUAUAUUUUGCAGUUUCUAGAGAUUGGAGGGGAAGGUGUGUGAUUUUAACGUCAUUUUUAACUUCUAAACUUUACUUCGAAUUCACUCAUAUACCAGUUUUAUAUUCAAUACAAACAUCUAUACAUACAUAUACACACAUACAUAGAUAGAUAUACCUCACGGUUAAUCCAUGGAUGGCAAUUGAACCCAUAAAGACGCACGGCCGCUGCUAAUCAUCCAACAGUCCAUUGCUUAAUUUGAUUGAACCGAACCUUCUAUCCAUUGCAUCCCAGCUUAGGGAGGAAGAUGGUUGGGUUAUUAGGAUGGUUAGGAUUUUUUCCUUACAAUGUAUCACAUAUGAUGUUCACAAGUGCAUCUCGUUCUCUUGGAAGAGUGUGAAUAAGGCUUGCAACUAUUAUCAAUUGGGCAAAACCGUGCACAUUGAUUGGAAGCUAGCGAUGGAAGCCAUGGUGGUGGUGAGCAUGGCAGGGCAAACCACGGUGAUGGCUGAGGAGGCCAAAAAAGGUUUCAUGGGUGGGGAUUGGGGCCGGGGGGAGGGGAAGUGGUCAAUCUUGGGAUUGGGGAUGGCAGGGUAGCAAUGAGGUGGCAGUGGUAGUGGCUGAUAAGGGGAGGUGGGGUGGAUGGAGUAGUGUGGAAGUGGAAAGUGGGGGGCUGAGGAGGGAAAAAGGUGGCUGGGUUAUUAGGAUGGUUGGGAUUUUUAUCCUUGCAAUGUAUCACAUGUGAUGUUCACAAGUGUAUCUUGUUUUGUUGGCAGAGUGUGAAUAAAGUCUGCAAUUAUUAUCAAUUGGGAAAAACGGUGCACAUUGAUUGGAAGCUAGCGAUUGAAGCCAUGUUAGUGAUGGGCAUGGCGGAGCAAGCCACGGUGAUCGCUGAGGAGGGUAGAAGAGGUUCCAUGGGUGGGGAUUGGGGUGGGGCAUGGAAACAAUGAGUGGCAUGGUUGGUGGAUGUAAGGGUUGUGGGGUGAUGGAGUGUGUGGGAGUGGAAAGAAGAGGUGGCUGAGAGAGAAGAUGAAUGGCUGGUUUUUAGGAUGGUUAGGAUUUUAAGAUGUUUAAGGGCAGUUUUGUCCUUUUGGCAUACAAUGGGUUGACUUUGACUAGAGUGUCUUCCAUGUCCAGCUCCUCAAACUAGUAACGUGCACAUUUCUUUAAUUUGGAUGAAAAAUUAACAGUAGAGCUUUUCAGUUCCCCCACUCGGGCCCACCCUUCCAUUUGGAAUAAUUUUAAGUAUCCAAGGUAAAUGCGCACAUAGUUUUCAGCCCACGUAGGGUAAAUGUGUGAUUUUUCCUAUAACUUUGGCAAGCCUCGUUGAUUGAGUAUAUAUCACAAGUUGUAAUCCAUCACAUGAUUGAUCUUAACUCCAUCUUAAGUUCCUAGGCUAUUCCUUCUCAUCUCCAUCAGCAAAGGGGUUUUUUGUUCAGCUUUCUUGUUUUUGUUUUUAGCUUAAUGAAGUUUUCUCUGUCCUCUUUCUCUGCCGAAAGAUAAAUCAAUGAGUUGAGGUUUUGCUUACCUAUAUGUGAAUGUCCCCUCAUUACUAUAUCUGGUCUCAGAAUGCACAGAAUAAAGUUGCAGGCAUUUGCUCUCUAUGGCUUUUUCCUGAUCUUCAUGUUCCCUCUGCUAUUACAGAGCCACACGAUUCAAUUAUUCUAUGCUGGAAGGAAGGUUACCUUUCUUACAUUGUAUGGUAUCAAUUUUGCUGGACUACAUUUUUUCAGAUGCUUUGACUUUUUUAUUUUUUAUUGGAAAUUCAUUCAAUAUAGAAAUUAAUGUGUGUUAAUAGCCAUUGUACUGUAAAUUUGAUAUGGCGUUCUUAGAUUUGUAGAGAUUUGAUCUAUUGCUUCAUAUCUUACAGGAGAGUCUUCAAUUAAUCUAGGAGACAUUGAGGAAGAUCGAAGGUUCGGUUAUGUGGAUUCACUAUUAAAAGCUGGCUCUGAUCGGUUUGCUUCUGUCCAAUGCCGUGAAUGGCUCCAUAAAGAAGUUUAGAUCUUUUAUGUGCAAGAAACUUCGACUCAACUUCUGUUCUGGUUGACCUGGCCUUCUAAAAGUAUUUUGUACAUAACUUCUGCAUGAGCUUUUUCUUCUCAAAAGUAUUUAUUUAAUUCUUUUGAGAAUAAAGGGAUUUUUCCAUGGAAGUGACAUAUGAUCAAUAACAAUGGAGACUAUCGACUAUUAGUCAUGGGAAUAUGUUAAAUUGAUGAGGCCUUUCAAAUAUUAAAUUUGGGCUAGCACUUGCUUUCAUGCUAAGUAAAAAAGAACUAAUGAAUAACCUGUAACUGGCCUAAAGGACAAAAAUAUGGAGGCAAAAAGGUUGGUGAUCCUCCUCGAUCCUUGAGUUGGCAAUUUGUGUUUUCUUUGUCUGAUUAUACAGGUCCCAACUAGUUAAGAACAUAAAGUUAUCCGUCGUAGACCGAACUCGAGAAUAGAAAUAGAACACAAAGAUACAAGGUUAGCAUCCUCUUCUUUCACUACUCGUUUUGAAAAGUGGUCCUCUGAACAAACUUACACAAGUUACCAGUUGUAACCAAGGUUUCGUUCUUUCACAUUAUGCUACUUUCUCAUCCCACUUGCCUUGAUGUCCUUGCAACUCACACUCAAGUACUAUUGUUCUUACGAAAUGAUGGAAUAUUGCUGCUAUCCACUGGCGAAGGGUUUAUAUAAGUUGUUGGCAUUGAAACUCAUUAUACUGUGAAAAUUGUUCUCUCCUUGAAGACUUAUUGUACAUACGAAAUGACCGUGAACCCUUUUACAUUGUUGUUUCCUUAUGUCGUAGAACAGCAACACCAGUUGUGUCCCUAAUUUUUACAUGUCAAUUUUUGUCAAUUUUUCUCAAGUAUAAUUAGUUGGUUUAGAGUGCAUGGAACUUGUCUUCUUGUAACAAAAAUUUUUAACUGUACCGUAACAUGGAAUUGGUAACAUAUCUCCUUGUUACAGGUAGGAGGCAUUAAUAUUUGCCUCAAAUCUCUUUAUUUUUUUGGGUAAAUUAUCUUAGUAGCCAACAUAGUUGUAAAAUGUUUGGACUAUUUCUUACUUCCCAACAUUAUUUAAAUUUCACCAGAAAUAUUUGGAGUACUUCAAUAAUGGUUUUGAUGACUCAUUUACUAUCACCGUAUCAUAAUAUAAUACGUUGACCCACUGCUAAGAGUUCUAAAAUAAUGUCGCAAUUUAAUGACUUUAAUCAUAUCCGAUGCAUACUUUUUUGAAUACUACCAAUUAGUUUUAAUCACCAAAUUGUCCUCAAAAGCUCGCUUUUGACAUGGGACACAAUUUCUUUUGGAUCAGAAGUAAAGAAAUUUCGUUAAGAAAGGUAAGUAUCAGGGAACAAGCAGCAAGCAGCCAAAAAAAUACAAGAUCACCAUCUCAAGUCUAACUACAAAUCACACACUACCCUCUAAUCUCUAUAAUAAAUACAAGAAUCAUAUCCCUUGGAAGGUGGAGAAUUUGAUGCCCAGAAAGAUGAAAAUGAUGUACUCUAUUCCAUAAUGAUUGAAUGUCCCUCAAUUCAUCCGCGAUAACUCUUGCGUUCCACUCCACCUAGAUAACCCACACAGCAGAAAAUGAUACACAAUUCCACCACAAAACUUUCGUCUUUCUUGUUGGCAACUCAAUACCCAAAAGUUUUGAGAUUGAAAACAUUUGUGAAUAGGAGUUGGAGCCAAUCAACAAGUAUCCACCCAUUCCUAACACUUGAAACUCUAAGUUGGCAAUUUAUCUUAAGUUUCAUUGUACUUUUUAUACGUUAAUAAUUCUUUCUUUGGUGUAGUAAUUUUUAACAUUGUUGUAAAUGCCCUUGCAUUGUUUGGACAUUUUUGUUACUACUACUUCUUCAAAAUAUGGGUUUUGGUUUCCUCUAUAAUUUCAUUUUCAUAUUCUUGUUUUUCUUCCUUUGUAUGGAAGUUAGAAUCUAGAGAUGCACUUCCUAUUGCUGAGCUAAAGAGGACAUGUUGGGAUUUGCUGAAAGGAGAUAUUUUCUGGUGUGUUUUUGGGAAAAGGGCUCUGGGAAAGAUACCUAGGUGUGACUUCAGUUGUAUCUAUCCUUUCAUGAUGCUCACAUUCUGUCUAUAUUUUAACAUGCAUUAUUACACCCCAAGAGCUCAAUGGCGUAAAAGGAUUCAUGUACCCGACCCUAAUUAAUAUGACAAAGGCUUGGUUUCGUUU
rnacentral:lncRNA from 1 species